ACUUUUGUAUAUUAUUGAACUCUUAAAAAGUUUAUUUCAAACAUAUGUGUGGUACUUUUGUGAAAGAAAUAGACAUUGAUCAACAUCUGGGUUUUGUAGUGACUGAAGAUUCAGUGUUUGAUUUUGGAUGUGAUUUUGCAGGAACAAUCUGUGUGCAUGAAGAGCAACACAUUAGGAAGAUAGAGAAAGGUUAAGGUGAAAAGGUAGGGAGAGAGAAUUCCUUAGUUACUGCUCAAUUCAGCCCCUGAUUUUAAAAGUUGUUUUAAUGUAUUCACUGUUGCAGUUUAUAAGGAUCUUGGGUGGAGACACAUCAUUUUAAAAAGCCAUUUAGGCAUUUGAAACCUUUUGUCACAGAAGGUUUGUGUGCUGCUGAAAUGAAAUUUAUUAAUAUAAAUUUGGCAUAUCUUCAGCAACAUACAGUUUUUCCCCCUAAGAAUCAAAACUGAUUUCUUCCCACUGGGCUCCUGAUGAGUUUGCAUUGUUGUAGCUAAGGUGAAGAAAUUUCAUUCUGUUCUUUUUUAGGCUAAUCAAGCAAAAGAGAAAUGUGAUUACUUGGUUGCAGGCUACUUAGUUAUUUGUCAGAAAACUUAAAUUGAUUUUAGAAAUGAUCAUAAGAGUUUCAGUAUCUUUCAGUAUCUAGAUCUUAGUUCUCUUUCACAAAUUUUACUAACAGCUGUUCUGGAUGGAGUACAUCUUUUUUUCCUAUGCAGGUGUAUUUGCUGGGAAGCCAGUAGAAGAAAUCAAGUACUUUUGUAUGUGCUAAUUAUAAAUAUGGUUGGCAACACCACUGGAUUGCAUGCUAAUGGAGAAAAUAGUUGAAAAUUUAACUUUGGAUGGAAACUAUCCAGAACAUCAAUAGAUGGUUUGGCAUCAUUUUUUGGCCUCAAUGAUUUUGCUUCUCAGCAAGCUAGAGCUUUCAGUUUGGUGCUCCGCCAAUGCCAACUUGGGCCAUAGGCCAUGAAUUCAUGGCAAAACUGCAACCUGUAUGCCAACUGAACUGUCUGCUCACCUCUUGCAAUCAGAGUUAUGUAACCUGCAAAAAUCCUGUCUUGUGAAUGCUGCUCUCACCUAUUCAAAUAAUUUACUUGCCCAUACAAACAUAGCAAAUAUCCAUAAAAGAGUAAAGGAAAAAUAGCUUGAAUUUGAAAUAAAGGUAGAGUUGCUUUAAUUUUUUGCCAGUCCUGAAAGAGUUUGUGGGGAUUAGCAGCAAAGCCCUUCACUUACUUGUAAAUCACAGCAAUGUAUUGUGUUGGAGAGGUUGUUUAUGGCAAGCACAGUUGUCCACUUCUCAUAAAACAGCUUGAAUCAGCAACUCGGGAUAUGACUGUGCAAAGCUAUCUGAUGGGCUGUAGAAGAGAAAACAACUACUGAAAGAAAGGGGGGGGGGGGGGGGAAAAAAAAAAAAAAAAAAAAAAACUGUACUUUCCAUCUUAAUGCCUUUAGGAUCUUAAAACUUUCUUUCAUUUCUGGUUUAAAUGCACAAUUAUUUCAUGGUUUGAUGAAGGGCACUCAUAGAAGUUACAAGAAGUGAGAUGUACUUGUGAAUGAGGCCUGAAAAGGUCUUAAAGUCAUGAAUUGUAGGGCAGUAUUGUAAUCCCUCUCUGCUCUACUCCAAGAUGUUCAUACUAGAUUCAAGUAUUCAGCCAGCUGAACGGAUGGAUGCCUGAGACCAAUUCACAUGGACUUGUAAUGAAUUCUGUUCAUUGCUCUGUUCUGAACAAAAUCCAGACAAUUAAGAAAAAAAUGGAAUUAUUGGAUUUUAUUCAUAUGCAUCGAGGAGUAUGUUUUAUAAUGCUGUUCUCCUACUACAGCACUUCACUCUCUGCCCUUUACAUUGCUGCAAGUGGGAGCAGAACACCAGGAAUUUUCUCCAAAUUUCUCCUUCAUUUUCCCAAGCUUGAGAAAUGGAGCAGCAUCCCUUUGCUGAUGAGAUACAUUACAUGUUGGUGUGAGACUGUGCUGGUUGACUGAGAUGCCACAGUUCAGUCCUACCUCCUCAGAAGGCGGUGUCUGAUGGCAGGAUAUGUUCUUAUGAGAACAGAUAUGUUUUUCACAGAAUCUUCAGUUUCCUGUCAGUAAGACAUUAGGUAUGUUUUAAUGACAACUCCAGAUUAGAGGAGGCUCCUAUGCACUGAGUAUUUUGCAGCUAUGUAAAUAGUGCCCAAAAACAAACAAACAAACAAACAAUCCCUGAAGCUGAAUGUCAAGUUAGAGAGGUAGAUGUAAUUGAGCCAAGUAUUAACUGAAGAAAGUGGAUAUAGCAGUGGGCCUUUGGAUUCUAGAGCAGGCUUGGCUUUUACCAUAGAAAAAUUUCAUUUGGACACAGCUAAAAAUAUCAUUGCUGUGUGUGUACUCACUUCAGCUCAGAGUGAGCCAUCAGAGGAAAAUAUGAUCUUCCAAAAUUCCCUUGUGUUAUUUAACCACACAGAAUCCUGGAACCCUUAGAGGUGAUGUGGAUACAGAGAACAAUGCAAAUUUUAUGUAGUCACACAAAGUACAUGACCAAAAUGCUUGCUGAAUAUAAAUAAUGCAGAUACAGAUGUCCCCCUUUGCUAAGAUGUAAGAAAUUCUAAAAUGCAAUGUCCAAAAGCUGUGUUUUCAAUUUAAAGUCAGAGCUGGGAGCAUGUGAAUGAAAUGGUGAGAUUAAGCAAGACUAUGGGAUUAAUACUCUGUUUCAGAUAUAAAGGCUUUAGUGACAAUGUCAGAUGCCUGAGGGUGAGAGUGAAGGACAGAUAAGAUCAGGGUUAUAAACAGUUUACAUAAACUGAAGAAAUAGGUUUAAGAAUUCCAGAAGAGUAUAAGGAUGAAAUAGCAAAGAUUACAAAAAAGCCAGUGAGUAGAACAGAUGGAGGACUGAGAUUUGAGAACUGAUGCAGCCAAGAUAAUAAGCAACCAACAACCACAAAGUUGGAGAAGAGAUCAUUGAGAGGAGGGAAGACAAUUGGAGCUGGAGGCUUGACAAGCAAGAGCAAGACAGAAGAAAAUGGAAGGGAGAUGUUUUGAAGUUGAGUGAAAUCACACAACACAAUAUUUACUAUUUGAAAACUAAAGAUGAGUACAGACCAAAGUCAUGAAUAUUGCUUUGAAGUGCCCAAAUUUUAGAAAAGACCAGCAAGUUUCAGAAUAAGAGCUCAUAUCUGACCUGAUUACUCAAAGCCAACACUGUCCUUAUAAAAUAGGAAAAACAAAAUUGCACUUCAAAGCAAUCCUGAACUCAGUGUGUUUUGGCCCAAAUAUUGAUGAUGUAAGAAUUCUCCUUUAAAAAAAGAAGAAGAAAAAAAAAUUGUGCCUUCAGCAGCUUUACAAACACAGCUGUUGGGCAUAGGCUUCAAUUAUAUGUAAGUUAGUAGAUUGGUACCAGCUUGUGAAAAGAUCAUUAUAGGAUUCCUUUUUUUCUUUUUAUUUCCCUUGCAGGAUUUUUUCUUAAGAGGGAAACCCAACUGAACUGGUACUUUCAUCUCAGAUUGAAAUCAACUCAUUAAAAGUUUUCUUUCCAAGAUUCCUGGCAUGAUGGAAUAGAAAAAUCUUGCAGUCUCUGAAUCUUACAUAGUUUCUUAGGAAGCUUUGAAAAAGUCAUCUUUUACUCUGACUGUCAGUGAAGUAUUACCCUGAGAAGAUGUGGGAAAACAGAAUGCAGAGCAAACCCUGGACAGAAGAGUUUUUCAAGUUGCUGAUGUAACUAUUGGACCUAUUGAUUGUCUGAGAAGAAAAGAUUAGACACAAGUGGGAUUUGUUAAAACCACACAUUUCAGAUAUAACAAAGUAAGUCAACUGUGAAGCUGAAGAAGUCAGACUUCCAAGAAGUCUUUGAAAAUAAGAGAUUACGUACUGCUCCCAUAAAGAAAGCGUGUCAAAAAGAACAAGAUUAGUCAAAUGAUUUUAGGCAUCAGUGCGAAUAGAGCAUUUUAGGUAACUAGAUGAUGCUACAUAAAUCUGUUUGCUGGUUCUCCUUACCUCUGUAGGUCCCACUGUGAUCCUUCUAAAUCUGGAUGAUAUAUAAAGCAAAGCACUGACAGUGCCCAGGUGUAAGAGACAUCAGAUCAGACAGUGGGGUCUAUUAUGCAUCUCAGCUUUCUCUGGCAAAGUGGAAAAGGAGGAAAGGGGUGAACAGUGAAGCAAGAAGCAGAGGCUCUGCUGGAAUUUAGAACAAAGGGGGGCUAAAAGGGGGAUAGUUAAAGGUAGUUUACAGAAAAUGAUUUAGUUAGUUAGAAUAACAAGGAAUGGAGACAGUGGGUCUGGGAGAGCAGGAAGGAUGCAGAUAAGGAGUGAGAUCUCCCUGAGACCUGUCAAGGAGGGGAUUAGAUGUUUUAAGUAUCAGAAGAGGAGUUGCAUCUCCCUGAUAAGAUGGGCGAUAACAAGAGGGGGUCUGCAUGAUAAAGAAUUAUUGAAUAUGUAUCAGAAUUACGGGAAAUCAUUGACUAUGUAUGAGGUGUACCUAUAUCUGUAUCACGGUUUUACAAGUCGGUGUGCAAGUUUGGAGGAGCUAUCCCCCUUGCACCCGGCGCUGCGCAACGCUGGAAUAAACAUACCUGCUUUAUAACCCAUCUCUGGAUUAUAGAGUUUGAUUCCGCAAGUCAGAUCUAGCAAAGAGAGAUGGGGCAAGUGACAAGACUCGGAAUUUUGAUGCAAACUGUUUACAGUGAUGUUUUCAUUUUGUUAAUGACUCACUGCCCCGAUUCAUGCUUUAAUGGAAGCUGCCUCGCUUAGAGAUUCUCACUGUUUAACUGAGUGAGAUCGUUCCCAGUAGAAUGGCUUGCAAAGCUCCUCUGGUGAAACUAAAGGCUAAAUAAAGCUUGAUUUUUUUUCUUUUUUUUUAAGAGGAAAAAAAAAGAAAAAAAAAACUUUCUUAUUUCAAGUAACACAAAAUUGCUUUAUCUGGCAUAGCCAAAAAAAAAAAAAAAAAAAAAGAUUCCCCAGUUUUUCGUUAGAAAAACAAUGCAGUCUAGUACUGACCUUAAGCUAUCAAAAAAAAGCCGUAUAUGAGCCCUCAAGCCUCUGGCAUUUGAAUCUAAUCAGGGCCAUAGACCUUUAAAUGCCUGAAAAUUGGGUGUGAAAGUGGCCUAAGGAGCUUCAAGUCGCCAGUCUCUCCGAGCGCUUUUAGAGGCUUUAUGAUGCUUUUGAUUAAAAUACUGGUUGUUGUAAUUAAUGGACAGGAUCAUCUCAGAGGUUUUCCAUCAGGCAGCUCUCCACUAAUUCUAAGAGGAAAAUACAACAGCAAAUCAAGUCCAUGAAUCAAAGAAACCUGCAGUGUGCUUACUUCCCGCCUGUAAGUGUUUGAAGUAUGUGAGUCAGCGUCCUGUUUGCUGUUCAUAAACAUCAGGUGGUUCUAAUUGACUUGCUAAACUGUUGAACUGUCUUAAGUAAUUCACAGUUUGUUAUUUCUUUAAACAAGUCUUUAUUUUAAAUCCCCUUUCCUGAAAGGCUGUUCAUGCUCGGAGGGAUGCUGCAGGCUCGCUUUAUUUCCCCGGGGGGAGGAGGGCUGCCCGGCGCCUCCCUGCGAGCAGUGAUUGUCGGAGGAGUCAGCCAGCCCAGCCACAUGCGUGAUAGAGAGCAGACAGCGUGGGGCUGGCUGACUGUUUUCAAAGCGUUUUUGUACCUCAGGUUACUUGUGCGGCUGGUGCCUGGGGAGUUCAGCGAAAACCAGGCUGUGUUUGUUCCCUGCUUUGCUUGUGAUAUGCGAUUUAUGAGAGCCAGACGGAUGACUCCACGCUCUGCAAGUUGUUGUGGGGAUGGGAGCUGCUGACAGAAGAGCAGCCGUUACAGAAAACGCUGAGUUAAGAAGAUUCAGACGCAAACUAGAUUGAUUCUCCCCUCCCCUGCUUUUGUUUGUUUUUACUGCGUCGGUGGGACGCGUUCAAGGAGAGCCGGCCGUAUCACUCGGAAAUGAAGGAGAUAAACUUUUAACUGUUGGAUUUCUUCAGGCUGAGCGACUCGAGUAGCUGAACAGAGAGAGAGGAGUGAAGAGAGAUUUCUGUAGGUGUGCUGUUUUGAAUGUCUUCUCUGCCAACGUCAGCAUAAAAUACUGAAGAAAUCACAGCGGUCCUUUCCCAGUCUAUACUUCAGUUCUGAGUAUCCAGAUGCCUGGUACACAGAUGGGUCCAGCAGAGGAAAUCCAAGUUAAUGGCAUCUCAUACCUCAGCUGAAAUCAUCUGGUUUGAAGAGGGGCAGGGUCGCCAGUGAGCUGAAUUAUGAGCGCUGUGGCUAGUUAUAACCCAAGAGGCUCACACUUUGGAUUGCAUGGUGGGCCACUCAGGACUGGACUACCCAUGCCCAAGCAAUCUGGAGCAGAGACAUGUGGAUUGAUAUAUGAAAUGUGGUUUCUUCACUUCUUUGUGAGGAGAACAGAAGCGACACACUGUCUUUUCAGACUGUGGCUUGGUGGGCUCUCCCCUACUGGAAUGGAAGGAAGGGAAAUUGAGAACAUGGCCAUACUGGCUUUCUCAGUAUCAAAACAAAAGGAGGAAUGUGAAGGAGUAGAAAUUUGCAAUAACUGGUCCAGGGGAGGAGGCAGCUGAUGGAACUUCAUCAAGAGCCAUAAAUACUGCUGAUCAAGGCCCAGAACUGGCACAAAGUCUAACCAGCAGCUCUUGACUUCAAGGCACCAGCUCCGACUGCAAAGCAAAAGCUCCAAUUGCCAACCAACUGGAUUCAGCAUUAUGCCACCUGCAUGAUGUCACAGACUACAUCACAGAUGGAAAAAGGUCAAAGAGGGUUCAAAUGUGACUACCCAUGCAAAAUGUAUUAAAUGUACUUUUUUGAAACAGUA